rnacentral:rRNA from 1 species
UACGUAGGGUCCGAGCGUUGUCCGGAAUUAUUGGGCGUAAAGAGCUCGUAGGUGGCGUGUCGCGUCGGAUGUGAAAUCCCGGGGCUUAACUCCGGGACUGCAUUCGGUACGGGCAUGCUGGAGUUCGGUAGGGGAGACUGGAAUUCCUGGUGUAGCGGUGAAAUGCGCAGAUAUCAGGAGGAACACCGGUGGCGAAGGCGGGUCUCUGGGCCGAUACUGACGCUGAGGAGCGAAAGCGUGGGGAGCGAACAGG